rnacentral:rRNA from 1 species
UACAGAGGUGGCAAGCGUUGUUCGGAAUUACUGGGCGUAAAGGGCGCGUAGGUGGCCUUGUUAGUCAGACGUGAAAUCCCCAAGCUUAACUUGGGAACUGCGUCUGAUACUGCAAGGCUUGAGUUCGGGAGAGGGAUGUGGAAUUCCAGGUGUAGCGGUGAAAUGCGUAGAUAUCUGGAGGAACACCGGUGGCGAAGGCGGCAUCCUGGACCGAAACUGACACUGAGGAGCGAAAGCGUGGGGAGCAAACAGG